GGGGGGGGGGGGGGGGGGGGGGGGGGCGGGGGGGUCGAGGGGUGAGGCGCCGGCGUGCUGGGGUGCCCGAGGGGCGGCCGGUUGCGUGACACGUGGGGGACCUGCCCUGCACUUCGGGCUCAUGCUGGGGAGCUGUGUCUAAUACCUGGUCGGGCCGCCCCGUGGUGGGUUGUGGGACAGGUUUUUCGGGUUGGGCUGUGCCCGCGGCCUAUCAGCUUGUUGGUGGGGUAAUUGCCUCCCAAGGCGGCGACGGGUAGCCGGCCUGAGAGGGUGGACGGCCAAAUUGGGACUGAGACACGGCCCAGACUCCUACGGGAGGCAGCAGUGGGGAAUAUGGCACAAUGGGCGGAAGCCUGAUGCAGCGACGCCGCGUGGGGGAUGACGGCCUUCGGGUUGUAAACUCCUUUCACCAUCGACGAAGGGUUUCUGACGGUAGAUGGAGAAGAAGCACCGGCUAACUACGUG
rnacentral:rRNA from 1 species